UCAGACUUCUACCUCGGAUGGUUAAAAAGUUUUGGCUGGUAAUUGAAAUCUAUUCAGGAGAUGAUUGGUUGUGUUGAACUCAUCGAUGUGUCUGGGGAAAGAGUCAGAGUGAGACAUCCUGUGGCUGGUGGACGAUCUGUGGACGGGUCCUGUCUCCCUCACAUUCUGCCUGGAAACAAAACAGCUGAGAGGAGACUCGAUCAGUUUGACCUGGACACAUCUGGACACAUCUGGAAACAUCUGGAGCGUUUCACCGAGAGGGUCUGAGGUUUAGAGAAAGAGCACCAGCUGUGACCUCCUGUGAUGGGCGGAGAGCAGAGCAGCGAGGAGGAGACGGAGGAGAGAGAAGAGGAGGAUGAAGAACAUCACGAGUCCAACGACACCUCUGAAGGAGAGCUGCCCCAGUGCAGGAUGGGAAACAGGAAGGUGGACGACAUGUGUUUCAUGAUCUCCUGCACUAACUGGUACUGAACUGGUUCUGGUGCAGCAGCUCGACCACUGAAGAACCAGUCCCUUGUACCGGCUCCAGGUCCAAACACCUCCCUGGAAACAGAUCAAUCCACUUUUCUGUUGUUUCUUUAUCUGAAAACAAAAGUGUAACCGAUUCCAGCUCUGCCACAUGAACCAGUGUCUCUUCAGUAAAGAUACUGGGACCAAAGGAGAGUUUAUUAAAUCACAUAUUCUAUAAACUCUCCUGCUUCCUCUGUGACGGACAUGCUCACAGGAGCAGCUCUGAAAGAUAAACCCACGUCCGUGUGUUUGUGUCUUUAGUUCCAGAUUCCCCCACUUUUCUCUUUACCUGCAUCUUUAGGUCAAAGACUGAAUUUUGAAAAAUGAGAUGAUAAAAACCAAAUGAUGAUAAUUUCCCUGAGGAGAUUAAAUGAAACUACACAAA